CAGUUAAUGAGCAGUGGCUUCUCCCAUUCUGAAACCCUGGUGUUAUAAACAUUGCCUAGCUGUUACCUGUUGGUUCAGACUCCAGCCUGGAAGCUGCCAGAGCAGGUUGUUGUUCCUGCCUGAGUUCUUGGUUUGCUGCAGCCCUCAGGCAGAGAUGGACAAUCUGCCCAGUUCCUGUGUACAACAUGGAGAAAAAGGAAAGAAAAACAACAAAAGACUUGUAACUAUUUUUCAGAUCUUAGUGUGCUUUAGUUAGGAGAGGUGUCAGGAAAGCCCCCUCUUCCCAGCUACCUUUUUACCUGCAUUUCACUGAAACCAGAGCAGGGCCAGAUUUUUCCAGCACCUCAUAAAGGCAGUGCUACUGCACCUGUCAGCUCCCACUUUGGAAAUAAUGAAAGGGCCUA
rnacentral:lncRNA from 12 species